rnacentral:lncRNA from 1 species
AAAAAAUUGAUACCGGAAGGAAACUUAAUCUACAGCCGAAGACAACCUAAAACUUAAAGAAACACUUAACCAUAGCUCGGUUCGAACCGAAGGUGAGUGACUUUGAAAUAAAGUCUUGCGGAAAUUCAAGAUGCGGUGUUUGCGGUCAAGAUACAAAAUAUUUAGAAACGGGUAAAAUGAAAUCAUUUAAAGAUGGCAAAAAAUUUCAUGUGAACGCCAAUAUGACUUAUAAGACAACAAAUCUUAUUUACUGUGUCACAUGUCCUGGUUGUCACGAAAAUUAUAUUGGACAGACCGGGAUAGCCUUGUGAACGGGUGCGAGUUCACAAGAACAAAUAAAACACCCACAAUACAGAAAUUCGCCAAUUAAUGCCCAUCUUGACACUUAUGGUAAAAAGCAUUUUCAAAUAAUACCUAUUUUUAAAUGUAGACGGGAUGAAGCAUAUAGAAAAAAGAUGGAACGUUAUUUCAUCGAAAUUAAAUCCAGAGAAUUUUUAAUAAUGAACAAUAAACCUCCUUUACGACGUCGCCUAAAGCGACACUACAUCAGUUAUCCUGAAGAGUCCCAAUGGAAGGAUGAAACUCGAUAGAAUGGAACUGUUAACGUUUUACUUAUUUUAUUGUUUUAUUUAAUGAAUAUAUAUAUAUAUGGUCUAGCGGGAUGGCUACAGUGUAGGCGUUUUGGUGUCACGAUAUCUCAGCAGCAUGGGUUCGAAUCCCGGGAAGGGAAGAAC